AACGCACGAGACCUGCGGACCUGCGGAGGGAUCAUUACCGAGUUAUCCAACUCCCAACCCCUGUGAAUCAUACCUUUAAUUGUUGCUUCGGCGGGACUUCGCGCCCGCCGGGGACCCAAACCUUCUGAAUUUUUUAAUAAGUAUCUUCUGAGUGGUUAAAAAAAAUGAAUCAAAACUUUUAACAACGGAUCUCU
rnacentral:misc_RNA from 1 species